rnacentral:tRNA from 1 species
UGAGCCUUGGUAUGGAAACUUACUAAGUGAUAACUUUCAAAAAUCCGUCGACUUUAGAAAUCGUGAGGGUUCAAGUCCCUCUAUCCCC